UACGUAGGGGGCUAGCGUUGUCCGGAUUUAUUGGGCGUAAAGAGCGUGUAGGCGGCCAGGUAGGUCUGCUGUGAAAACUCGAGGCUCAACCUCGAGACGUCGAUGGAAACCGUCUGGCUAGAGUCCGGAAGAGGAGAGUGGAAUUCCUGGUGUAGCGGUGAAAUGCGCAGAUAUCAGGAAGAACACCCGUGGCGAAAGCGGCUCUCUGGGACGGUACUGACGCUGAGACGCGAAAGCGUGGGGAGCGAACAGG
rnacentral:rRNA from 1 species